GGCUUUCUCUGCAACAGUAUCUCUACAUUUCUAAUACCAUCUUGGCUUCUGCUUCUUGCAGUACCCAGUGAUCCAGAGGUCGGGAUCAUGUCCUUUUAAUGAAUUAAUGGAUGGAUGGAUGGAUGCAUGUACGGAUGAAUGAAGAUUUGUGCUACUGUGGACCAACCUCAGCUUGGUAGCGAAGCAUCCUUGCCUCUGUGUUACACCUCCAGCUGGACGUGGCCUUUUCAGAUUAUCUCAAGUGAAAUAAGAAGCUGCAGCACCCGAGUUUCAGUUUGGAUUUGGGAGUUACCAAGUUUUGGCUCACAAUUUGCUUACAAACCCUC
rnacentral:lncRNA from 1 species